CAAGGGGAUGCCCGAAGUUUGUCCACAGCAGGAUCUCCAAACUCCAUGGCGCUUCUUUCUCUUCUAGUCUCAAAACCCUCACUCAAAACCUCCUUUCUCCCCCUCACUUCUCACUUAAUUCCCAUCAUGCCCUCUUCCCCUCUCUCUUCUCAUUGCACCACCCCCACUUUCCCAUUGCCUUCUCAAUCUCCUCCUGUGCCAAAGAAACGACCUUUCAAUAUCUCUGCUCAUACCAGAACGUGGCAAGAUCCUUAUUAUUGGAUGAGAAACGCUAAAGACCCUGACUUUGUUGAUUAUCUCAACCAAGAAAACUCUUACGCUCAAGCUUUCAUGGCUGACACUCAAAACCUGCAGAGGACUUUGCUCGAGGAAAUGAAAAAUCGACUGCCUACUCAGAUUUCAACUCCUCCUGAGCGCUGGGGUCACUGGUUGUACUACCAGUACAUUCCUGAGGGGAAGGAAUACCCAGUUCUAUGUAGAAGGUUGGAAACUGAGGAAAGUGGUUUGUUAAAGACACUUCUCAAUUAUGCCAAGGGACAUUUUGGGAUGGAGCAAGUUUUGCUUGACUGGAACCAAAUUGCUGAACAAUACGGUUAUGUGCAUGUGGGUACAUGUCGGGUUUCACCAGAUCACAAGUUUCUUGCAUACACACUUGACAUUACUGGCAAUGAACAAUUCUUACUUCAAGUUAAGGACCUCAGCAAUGGAUAUAUUGUUUCACGAUCACAAGUUGAUGGGGUUGUUAGUUUGGCAUGGGCUCAAGAUAGCACUACUUUGUUCUACACAGUAUCGGAUGAGAAUCAACGACCUUACAGGGUUCUCUUCACAAAACUAGGAUCAGAUGAGAUAGAUGAUGUCCCAGUAUUUACAGAAAGUAAUUCAAGUUUUUGUGUGGAUAUAACAAGCACAAAAGAUGGCAAGUUUAUCACUGUGAACUCAAAUUCAAGAACUUCAUCCGAGGUUUAUGUGAUAGAUGCAACCAACCCGCUGGAUGGUUUACAAAGAGUACGCGAGCGUGUUUCUGGAGUGCGAUAUUUUUUGGAACAUCACUAUGGUGUGUUCUAUAUUCUUACAAAUGCUCCAUUAAGUGAAAGUGAGGACCGGUCAGAUGGAAAUUAUUAUUUGGCUCAAUGCGAAGUUGAAGAUAUACAAUCUUCUGAUUGGCAGAAUAUCAUCCUUCCAAGUGAAGAUAUGAGCUUUCAAGACAUGGACAUUUUUAAUGGACAUUUGGUCCUCUUUGUCAAUAAGAAGAGCUUUCCUGCAUUAUGUUCUGUCAAUUUGCCAAUCAAGUUUAACAGUGUGAAUCAGUUGGAGAUUGAGAAUCUUGAUCCUUGGUUUUUUCCCCUGCCCUCAAGUCAAUGUAACAUCGUUCCAGGAUCAAACCAUGACUUCAUGAACCCAGUAUACCGUGUGGUGCUGUCAUCUCCGGUGAUGCCUGGUGUGGUUGUUGACUAUAACAUGUCAGAACGGAUAUUGUCGAUUGUGCAACAAGAGAAAGUAAGAGAUAUUUCUGGUGAUUGUGGAUCAUGCUCACUGGCUUACGAGCUAGAUACUUCUGAACAUCUUGACCCACUAAACAAUAAGGACAAAAAUAACUUGAAUAUUGAAUUGCAAAGAUGGAAAGACUUUUCUGGUGCAUAUUGCUGCAAAACAAAGGAAGUCAUUUCCCAUGAUGGUGUCAGGGUUCCUCUGACCAUUUUGUACUCCCGAAAAGCCUGGCAGAGGGGUCAAUCUCCUGGACUGUUAGAGGGCUAUGGAGCAUAUGGGGAAGUUCUAGAUAAAAGCUGGUGCUCAGACCGCCUGAGUUUACUUGAUCGUGGUUGGGUGCUGGCCUUUGCUGAUGUGAGGGGUGGCGGUGGUCAUUCUUUGUGGCAUAAAUACGGCAGUGGGUUGAACAAAUGCAAUUCAAUAUAUGACUUCAUAUCAUGUGGCAACUACCUAGUUUCUGAGGGCUAUGUUCAUAGAGAUCGGCUAGGUGCCAUUGGAUUUAGUGCAGGGGGUCUUCUUGUUGGGGCAGCUAUCAAUAUGAACCCAGAUUUAUUUCGUGCUGCCAUUUUGAAGGUUCCAUUUCUUGAUGCAUGCAACACGUUGCUGGAUCCAAGUUUGCCUCUCACCUUGCUGGACUACGAAGAAUUUGGGAAUCCUCAGAUACAGUCGCAGUUUGAGUCUAUUUUAAGUUAUUCUCCUUAUGAUAACAUUCCUCGUGAUGCUUGCCUUCCAUCAAUGCUUGUAACUGCAUCUUUUCAUGACUCAAGGGUUGGAGUUUGGGAAGCUGCCAAAUGGGUGGCCAGAACACGAGACAUUGCAUGUUCUCAUUGUUCUCGUUCAGUCAUUCUGAAAACAAAUAUGACUGGAGGGCAUUUUGGUGAAGGCGGUUGCUAUAGUCAAUGUGAAGAAACAGCUUAUGAUUAUGCUUUUCUGAUGAAAACUAUAGGAAAUGUGAAUGGCAAUAAAUAAGAUAAGCUUGUCGCAGAGCUGCUUUCUGAAAUUAACAGAAAGGUGCUGCUUGACUGCCUGUAAAGCAUGAUUUCUAUGUUGCAAUCCUACUUCCAGCAUUCGUUUUCCCAUCUUGCGGAUGACUGUUUCUUUUUCUGUUUCUGUACUUCGAAGAUGAAAUUUGUUCCUGCUGUACUUAUGAAGAGAACAUGAAAACAGCUGUUGAAGGUCAUCGAUUGCAUGUUUCAAUCGUCCAGUCAUAGAUCUUUUUCUUUCUCCACUUGAAUUAUUAAGAUGUGCUGGCCUAUCACACAUGCUCGCUUAGAGAUUGCUUCCAUUAAGACAAUUAAUGAUCCGAAAGUGAUAUAUAUGUGGCACUUGGAACACACAACUGUUUGAUCCAUCGUACCAGAUUGGAGGACUUACAUGGGAUGCUUUCUCCUUUAUAAUGAAGACAGCUCAUGCAUAUCGGGGAAACGGGGAAACCAGCGAGAAGAUUCCAGGUCAGCACAGAGAAAGGGUCGUGUCUGCUACAAACAGUUGAAGCAUCAUUCGACAUUUUUUCCUAGAUGUUAGAGCCUCUUGUUCUGUAGGAGUCGUUAUGACAAACAAAUAUCCAACAACCAGGUGGCAUCCCUCAUCGUAUUUUGGCCUGUAGGCCUAUAGAUGCUGUAAAACAUCAAACAAUUUUAAACUAUGAUAAACCUUAUGUAUUUCGGUACGCUCUCCGUAUUCAUAUAAGGCACUUUCUCCA